UUGCAUAUCCAAAAAGCGGAGGAAAAGAAACCAACAGGGAUUGCCUCAGUAACGGCGAGUGAAGCGGCAAAAGCUCAAAUUUGAAAUCUAGCACCUUCGGUGUUCGAGUUGUAAUUUGAAGAUGGUAACCUUGGGUUUGGCUCUUGUCUAUGUUCCUUGGAACAGGACGUCAUAGAGGGUGAGAAUCCCGUCUGAUGAGAUGCCCAUUCCUAUGUAAGGUGCUAUCGAAGAGUCGAGUUGUUUGGGAAUGCAGCUCUAAGUGGGUGGUAAAUUCCAUCUAAAGCUAAAUAUUGGCGAGAGACCGAUAGCGAACAAGUACAGUGAUGGAAAGAUGAAAAGAACUUUGAAAAGAGAGUGAAAAAGUACGUGAAAUUGUUGAAAGGGAAGGGCAUUAGAUCAGACUUGGUGUUUUACGAUUAUCUUCUCUUCUUGAGUUGUGCACUCGUAUUUCACUGGGCCAGCAUCGAUUCGGAUGGCAAGAUAAUGGCAGUUGAAUGUGGCUUCACUUCGGUGGAGUGUUAUAGCUUCUGCUGAUAUUGCCUGUCUGGAUCGAGGGCUGCGUCUUUUGACUAGGAUGCUGGCGUAAUGAUCUAAUGCCGCCCGUCUUGAACAACGGACCA
rnacentral:rRNA from 1 species